rnacentral:rRNA from 1 species
UGCAGUCGAGCGGAUGAGGGAGCUUGCUCCUGGAUUCAGCGGCGGACGGGUGAGUAAUGCCUAGGAAUCUGCCUGGUAGUGGGGGAUAACGUCCGGAAACGGGCGCUAAUACCGCAUACGUCCUGAGGGAGAAAGUGGGGGAUCUUCGGACCUCACGCUAUCAGAUGAGCCUAGGUCGGAUUAGCUAGUUGGUGGGGUAAAGGSCUACCAAGGCGACGAUCCGUAACUGGUCUGAGAGGAUGAUCAGUCACACUGGAACUGAGACACGGUCCAGACUCCUACGGGAGGCAGCAGUGGGGAAUAUUGGACAAUGGGCGAAAGCCUGAUCCAGCCAUGCCGCGUGUGUGAAGAAGGUCUUCGGAUUGUAAAGCACUUUAAGUUGGGAGGAAGGGCAGUAAGUUAAUACCUUGCUGUUUUGACGUUACCAACAGAAUAAGCACCGGCUAACUUCGUGCCAGCAGCCGCGGUAAUACGAAGGGUGCAAGCGUUAAUCGGAAUUACUGGGCGUAAAGCGCGCGUAGGUGGUUCAGCAAGUUGGAUGUGAAAUCCCCGGGCUCAACCUGGGAACUGCAUCCAAAACUACUGAGCUAGAGUACGGUAGAGGGUGGUGGAAUUUCCUGUGUAGCGGUGAAAUGCGUAGAUAUAGGAAGGAACACCAGUGGCGAAGGCGACCACCUGGACUGAUACUGACACUGAGGUGCGAAAGCGUGGGGAGCAAACAGGAUUAGAUACCCUGGUAGUCCACGCCGUAAACGAUGUCGACUAGCCGUUGGGAUCCUUGAGAUCUUASUGGCGCAGCUAACGCGAUAAGUCGACGCUGGGGAGUACGGCCGCAGGUUAAACUCAAUGAUUGACUGGGGCCGCACAGCGUGAGCAUGUGUUAUCGAGCAACGCUAGACUACUGCUGACAUGCUGAGACUUCAGGUGAUUGUGCCUC